GGGAAAAAUCAGACACAGGAACUCAAAAGUGAACAGUGUGGACGCUGGAGAGAAGACUUGCUUGAGCCUCACAGCGCAGUGAACCUGAGCCUACGUUCUCUCACGGAUAGCUCUGCAUAGAUGAUCUCAGGCUCUCUGCGGGGACUAGUCGUGCUAUGCCAGCUAUGAGAUGGCUCCUCCUGCAUCUCAGUGCUUCCUCACAAUUUUCAAGAGGCAAAAUGAUCUUCAGGUGUGAGAAAAGAAAUGCUUCUUUCCUAUGGAAUAAAAAAUGGCAAAAGGAACAUCCCUGACAGGAGGGUCAUCCGUGCUGAAUCACAGGUGCCUGCUCUGACUCACAGCCAGAGACUCCCAGCUAGAGAGCUGCACAAGAAAAGCGGUACGUGAAUGUGCCAUGUCAGGUGUGCUUGCAGUCUUUGCACCGGUGGAAAUGGUAA